GGCUAGUGACUUUUGUCUCCCACUUUGUUUAUUUCCAACACCCAGACAGAUCACCUCAAAGCACUAUUUCUUCAUCACUUUUCUUCUCUCCCCGAAAGACAAGUACCUUCAUCUUCAUCCACAACCAACCUCCGUGUCCGACUCAAAUGAAAAUCGGGCUUCCAAUCGAAGCGUCCAGUGGAUUUCAUCAUCUCUCCAUUGAAACCUGCAUCCCCGAUCCCUAAUCAUCAACCCCUCAGCUCUUAACCCCAAAAUUUCGUCAACCAUCAAAUCCCUAACUCGCUCUCUCCAACUUAUUACCCAUGCGGGGUCCCCAUCGCUCUGAGCGCAAGGUCAGUGAAGCAGCAAAAACAAAAUCGAAGCUCUAGAGGCGGAGAAGGACUCCCUCAUCAAAUCGAACAAGGCCACCUAGCAGACCAUGUGGGAGUGUGGGACUGGAAGCAACAGCUCUACGCUGAAGCCAACACCGACUCUGCUCUCAUCCCUCUCGCCAGACUCAAAGCCAUCUACAGGGAAGCCCUACUUCCCCAAUCGCAGUUAAAGAGGAUUCCAAAUCUACCGAAGCUAAAUUUGUGGCCUCCAUUCUCCCGAAGAAGCAAAAGCAGAAGCAGAAAACCACCAAGCUCGGAAGCUCCAGAACCCACAUCAACAACCUCCCCAAGCUCCUCUCCUACGUCACCCUAACCUCACCGCCUUAGUACGUCGUCAAAUCUCUCCUCUCCAUCCAAGCCUUCUUCACUCCCGUCUUGCCUGACCUCCCUUCCUCUUCUUCCAAGCCCAAUCACUCCCAGGAUGACGACCCCGAGUUCAUAUACAGCACUUGGCUCUGGUCCAAGUUUGACGAGCUCGUCGAGUCCCUCAUCCAGCUCCUUCUUUUGCCGGAAUCCGAUGAAACUCUCAAGGAGGUGGUGUUGGAUACAUUGAUGGAGUUUUUGAAGUUGGGAAAUGGAAGAAGGUUUCACUCUGCUAUAGUCCUUAGGUUUCUUAGUAACAUUAGAAUAUGCUCUCGUUUGAUGAUUGUAUUAGCUGUGCUUUUAUCGCCACUUCCUCUGUUCAUCUGCACCUUUUAAGAUGUAGGUCAGUACUCACUCACCCCUCGCCAGACUCAAAGCCAUCUACAGAGAAGCCCCACUUCCCCAAUUGGUUCAUGCCUUAUUGAAGGAGCUGGCUCAGAAGUCUUUCAAUGCGACCAUGGAAUUAAAGCAGUAUCCCACUUUAAGAGUGGAAGUUGGGAAUGCAAGAUUUGAAUCGCUGGAUAGGUUGAAAGAAGAGAGCAAGGAAGCAACUAUGCAGCUAGUUGAUAUGGAAUCUCUCCCCCAGUGUUUGUAGGACUUUGAAUAUCUCAUCUCUUAGAUAUCCGUCAUCUCGUAUAUCUAUUCUACGACCGCGAGAGAAGCUUGAUGACUUCCAGAUUCCCAUCUCAUCAGCUUAGCAAUGGUCUUUACGUGUCAGGCAGGCCUGAGCAGCCAAAAGAAAGAGCACCUACAAUGGGCUCAACUGCCAUGCCCUCUACUGUAAGUUUAGGGUUCUAAAUCACUUGCAUGAAUUCAAAUUUGUGGAAGAAUUCAUGGCCGCCUCAGGAGUAUAUCCCCAGGAACACUUUAGAAUUGGUAAGCUUCUCUUCUCUCUCUUCUUCGCAUCUCUUUACUUCCUCACAAUUUACUUCAAGGCACACUAGUAUUGAAUUUACCAUGUUUGCACGGGAAUUUCUCUUGGUGACUGGUAUUGAAUUACUAUGUAGAUUAAAUCAUUCUUAUUGGUCAAUGUAGUUAAUAGCCCAUCUUGGUGGUACAAGUUAGAACUGUAUAUGCCAACUCAAUCAAAUCUUACUUUGCCCACUUUCAUCUUUUAUAGUGCUUUGAAAAAGAAAUUAAAUGAGAAGAUGGCUGAAUUUCAGGCAGUUCAAACUUACAUAUACUUUUAGCCUUGUUUUGUUUCUUUCAGGCAAAUUUUUACAAGUUUGAGAAUUUAAUUGCCCCUUAUCUAUGGCUAUGGAACUUCCUUUGACCUUAAUAUUGGUACCAUUUCUCCUUUUUUGUGAUUUUCAGUGAUGGGCACAAGAGCUGAUGAAGAGGUGAAACUUGAUGCAUUGUUCAAAUUUUUUUUUUCCUCCCUGCCCCCUUGAGACCACUUUUUAUUGUCAGCACUGGGAUACUUUGAAUGAAUUUUUGACAUGUUGAACAAUUUGUUCCAACUUCCUAUCACCCCUACAAUUGUUUUAGUUUGAGCUGUUAGAUUUACUAAAUUGGAAAUUAAGUUUCUUUUUAAAGAAAAAUUAUUAGUUUCCGGAGAUGUCCUAUCACAGUAUCUUUCUUGCAUGCUUAGUUUGAUAUUGUCAAUAUGAUUAAUGUUAUAUUUUGCUACUGUAGGAGAAUCAUUGGUUAUAAAUAAGCAAAGACUCUGAACAGAGAUGCUGCUAAUUUUGAGUUGAAAGGUUAGAGGAAAGCUCAAUGUUAUCAGUUGGGUGACAAGAACAAAAACUUAGUAGAGAUUAGAGAACAGCAAAGGAAAUUAGAAGAAAGAAAAGCAAAGGAAGUUAUGUUUGAAGAACAAAAAACACAGUACUAGCACAUUGUUAUUAUGUCCAUGCCUCAUUCACCAAAAUGAUUAACUAAUCCUUUUGAUAUAAUAAACUGAUUUCAGUGGGAGAGGAGAGGCAGCAACCAAUACACCUAAGCGGAUAUUGAUCAAGUGCGAAAUGAGUAGGGGAAGUUUGUUGUCAACACAUGUGCACGAGUCAUGAAGUAGCGCACUUGUUUCUGGUACAUUUUAGAUAAGGAAAGCAUCUUUUUUGUGCUUCUCUGCUGGUACAUUGUCAUGCACCAUGUGUGGCAUGUUUUGGAACAAUAUAUGUGUAUCAGCUUUUUGAUGUCCCAAGUAGAUGGGCUUGCACUAGAAUGCUUUUCUUGUGUAAAAUGUUGGUUUCAAUGAUUGGGAAAUGCAUCCCUUUUGCUUUUGAAGUUUAAAGUAAUGGUUAUAUGAAUCAUUUGAUGGUUUGCAAUGUUUGUAUUUGAUAGAGUACUA